rnacentral:rRNA from 1 species
CCUACGGGGGGCAGCAGUGAGGAAUAUUGGUCAAUGGGCUUACGCCUGAACCAGCCAAGUCGCGUGAGGGAAGACUGCCCUAUGGGUUGUAAACCUCUUUUGUCAGGGAGCAACGCCGGCUACGUGUAGCCGGACUGAGAGUACCUGAAGAAAAAGCAUCGGCUAACUCCGUGCCAGCAGCCGCGGUAAUACGGAGGAUGCGAGCGUUAUCCGGAUUUAUUGGGUUUAAAGGGUGCGUAGGCGGAAUGCCAAGUCAGCGGUAAAAUCGCGGGGCUCAACCUCGCUCCGCCGUUGAAACUGGCGGUCUUGAGUGGGCGAGAAGUAUGCGGAAUGCGUGGUGUAGCGGUGAAAUGCAUAGAUAUCACGCAGAACUCCGAUUGCGAAGGCAGCAUACCGGCGCCCAACUGACGCUGAAGCACGAAAGCGUGGGUAUCGAACAGGAGUAGAUACCCCAGUAGUC